rnacentral:rRNA from 1 species
UACGUAGGGGGCAAGCGUUGUCCGGAAUCAUUGGGCGUAAAGCGCGUGUAGGCGGCCAGAAAAGUCCGCUGUGAAAACUCGAGGCUCAACUUCGAGCUGUCGGUGGAAACUUUCUGGCUAGAGUCCGGAAGAGGAGAAUGGAAUUCCGUGGUGUAGCGGUGAAAUGCGUAGAUACUGGGAGGAACACCAGUGGCGAAGGCGGCUACCUGGACCGGUUCUGACGCUGAGGCGCGAAAGCUGAGGGGAG